rnacentral:rRNA from 1 species
AGGAUAAACGCUGGCGGCGUGCCUAAAACAUGCAAGUCGAACGGUCAUCAUCUUUUGGGGUGGUGGUAGUGGCGGACGGCUGAGUAACACGUGGGUGACCUGCCCUCGAGCGGGGGAUAACGUGACCCGGAAAGGGUGGCUAAUACCGCAGAUGUCGGUGAUUCGGUUCACUGACUGAACCUUUGGGGUUCGGGGAGGGCCUGCGGCCGAUUAGCUAGCUGGUGGGGUAACGGCCUACCAGGGCGACGAUCGGUAGCUGGUCUGAGGGGAUGAUCAGCCAGACUGGGACUGCGAACGGCCCAGACUCCUACGGGAGGCAGCAGUUAGGAAUUUGGGCAAGUGGGCGAAAGCCUGACCCAGCAACGCCGCGUGGGUGAGUGAACGGCCCGUCGGGUACGUAAAACGCCCUUUUUACGAAGGGGGAAGAAGUAGGUCGGAACCGGUUACCCCGUGGGAACUAAAGCCCCCGGCUAACUACGUGCCCAGCAGCCGC